rnacentral:lncRNA from 1 species
UCACCGUCUCCAUUGACAGAUCUUGGAUUCAUAGACACGCAAUUUCUAGAAUCAUAUUUACUCAGACAGUCAUUGGUUGUUGUUACAUGCUUUGUUUCAAAACUGCCACAGAUAAGAUCUGGAAUUGAAGAGCAAACAGGUACUUUGUCAUCAUCAUUCCCAUAACUGGUGUUUUCUCUACGAAUUCCAGGACUUAUUGUUUCAAAUGUCCUUGUUAUACAGCUCCCCUCAGACUCUGCAAGAUGUGGGCUGUCUGAAGCAAUAGCAUGAGUGUUGGGAAUAGAAAUGUCAAUAUUCCAAUCAUUUGAUUUGGGAGUUUCAUGCAGUUGAACAUGGUUAGAACGUGUCUUUUUUACGUUUAAAGGAACCCU